CUUUAAUCUGAAUUUCAAAGACUAGAGAGUCCUGCUAGGGCUUUUGCCUUUCUCUCUUCUUCCCAUCAACGUUGCUCGCUCCUUAUUCCUCCCCUUCCACGGUAGCUCGCUUUCUGAUCCUCUCCCUGCGCCGUGGUCGUUCUCUGAUCCUCUCCAUCCACGGAAUUGCUCGUUCUCCCCUAUAUAGUGCUUGUUCUCUGAUCGUCGACGCCGCAACACGUUGCCGCUGCGCCGCCGCCGCCGCUGCUACACUCGAGUCCACCACUUUAUUAUUUUCUGUCGCCUCUCUGUUCCUCUUCUUCACCAGCGACUCUGAUCUCUGUCCUUCUCCCUCCACCUCUGCCUCUGCGACCUACUCCUUUAAGUUAGACUGGCUAAGCUAGCUGUUGACAAGGUCAUGACUGCACCAUGCGAGACAUCAAUUUUAUAUCCAAAGCAUGGUGGAAAUCUGCACUGUUUCACAGCAAUAACACCUUGUGCUGUGCUAGACAUUCUUUCACCUCCUUAUAGAGAAGAUGAAGGAAGGAAGUGUACUUACUAUCAUGAUUAUCCAUAUUCAACAUUCUAUUUUCCAGGAGCAUCAAAAAAUAGAUAAUUGCUAUAGUUGAGGAUCUACUUUCUUUCUGGAUUCAACCAUUAAAAUGUGCAUUAGGCAGUCUGUAGCAGUUGCAACUUGGUAAGCAUGUUAUGAUCAUUUUUCUUUAUGUGAGGUCCAAGCAAACACUUUUUGUAGAGUCCCUCUACAUCACAAUUAGUGUAUUAACCUGAACGAAUGAAUGAUCGGAUGGUUAAAUUCUUUUCUGGUUUACCUGGAGUUCUUCACUCAUAGUCCUUCAACUUUGAGGUGUGAUUGCAAUUCGAGCUCUCUAGCCAAAAAGUUCAUAAGCAACGGCUGUCUAUUGUAUCAUUGAUUUCACCAAUUACUUUAUGCGUUUAUGUUCUUGUACAAGAAUUCUGUAUAUAUGCUUAGUAGUGCUUGUAAGUUUUGACUUUUGAGAUUUGUUUGUAGCUUUGAUUUGGAAAAUAGUAAAAAUUUUUACCUUGCCAUA